rnacentral:rRNA from 1 species
AUUGAACGCUGGCGGCAGGCCUAACACAUGCAAGUCGAACGAGUGGCGGACGGGUGAGUAAUGUCUGGGAAACUGCCCGAUGGAGAGGGAUAAAUACUGGAAACGGUAGCUAAGACCGCGUACCAUCGGAUGUGCCCAGAUGGGAUUAGCUUGUAGGUGGGGUAAAGGCUCACCUAGGCGACGCUCCCUAGCUGGUCUGAGAGGAUGACCAUCCACACUGGAACUGAGACACGGUCCAGACUCCUACCCUGCACAUCAGUUAACAAUAUUGCACAAUGGGCGCAAGCCUGAUUCAGCCAUGCCGCGUGUAUGAAGAAGGCCUUCGGGUUGUAAAGUACUUUCAGCGGGGAGGCGUUACCCGCAGAAGAAGCACCGGCUAACUCCGUGCCAGCAGCCGCGGUAAUAC